ACCUCGGAUCAGGUAGGGAUACCCGCUGAACUUAAGCAUAUCAAUAAGCGGAGGAAAAGAAACCAACAGGGAUUGCCCCAGUAACGGCGAGUGAAGCGGCAAGAGCUCAAAUUUGAAAUCUGGCCCCCCCCGGGGUCCGAGUUGUAAUUUGCAGAGGAUGCUUCGGGUGCGGCCCCGGUCUAAGUCCCCUGGAACGGGGCGUCAUAGAGGGUGAGAAUCCCGUCUGGGAUCGUCGGCCGUGCCCGUGUGAAGCUCCUUCGACGAGUCGAGUUGUUUGGGAAUGCAGCUCUAAAUGGGUGGUAAAUUUCAUCUAAAGCUAAAUACUGGCCGGAGACCGAUAGCGCACAAGUAGAGUGAUCGAAAGAUGAAAAGCACUUUGAAAAGAGAGUUAAACAGCACGUGAAAUUGUUGAAAGGGAAGCGCUUGCGACCAGACUCGCCCGCGGGGUUCAGCCGGGAUUCGUCCCGGUGUACUUCCCCGCGGUCGGGCCAGCGUCGGUUUGGGCGGCCGGUCAAAGGCCCCGGGAAUGUAUCGCCNUCCGGGGCGUCUUAUAGCCCGGGGNGCAAUGCGGCCUGCCCGGACCG
rnacentral:rRNA from 1 species